rnacentral:rRNA from 1 species
UGGGGGUAGCUUGCUACCUGCCGGCGAGUGGCGAACGGGUGAGUAAUACAUCGGAACGUGCCCUGUAGUGGGGGAUAACUAGUCGAAAGACUAGCUAAUACCGCAUACGACCUGAGGGUGAAAGUGGGGGACCGCAAGGCCUCAUGCUAUAGGAGCGGCCGAUGUCUGAUUAGCUAGUUGGUGGGGUAAAGGCCCACCAAGGCGACGAUCAGUAGCUGGUCUGAGAGGACGAUCAGCCACACUGGGACUGAGACACGGCCCAGACUCCUACGGGAGGCAGCAGUGGGA